CCACUGUUAGUCAACUGUAUUUUGUGAGUAUUUUUAGUGUAUUAUGGGAGCUAUUUUAUUGUAAUUUGAGCUUGAACUUGUGUAAAUUUGUGAUUGCUCCGGAGUGUCCUUUUCUUAUCACUUGACUUACUCUGUAAAUCUUAAUUUUUAAUGUCACUUGUAAGUGAGAUCACAGUGUUAUUGUUGCCAAAAGAAAGCCAAACUCUCGUCCACAUGCAUCUCGAUUCACAUUUCUAUAUGAUAAUAUUGAACUGAUUUUUUUGUAUCUGCUGAUACAAAAGAUUCUUUCAAAAGAUAACCCUUACCCUAACCCCUAACCCAGGGUGGGCGAAAGAUGGAGACAAUACUGCCGUUGAAGCUCGAGAGUGAGCAGCAGUUCGGUCACCCCUUGCUUUCUCAACUUGAGCAAGAAAUUUCCAACCAAAUAGGAGGGAGGGCACUACUGUUUUGAGGUUAGUUUACUCUAUCUUUGUAAGUGAAAUUAAAGUGUAAGUUGUAGUGUAAUUUUAGGUUAGUUACUCUAUCUUUUGUCAGUGUUUUUUAUACUGUAAUUCUUAGUGGAUUCUUUUAGUGUAAUGACUCCAUCUAAUAUUUUUGAAUUUACUCUGUAAUUCAUAGUGGAGUUCUUAGUGUAAUUACUAUAAAUUUCUAGUGUAAUUACCGUAUCAUUUUGGUGUAACUACAAUGCAGUGUAUUUACACUGUAAAUUGUAGUGUAACUAACCUCACUAGUGUAAUUGCUGGAAUUUUUGUGUUAAUUUAGUGGAAUUAUAGUGUAUGAACUGUGCAUUUUACAGUGUAAAUUUAGUGGAAUUACAGUGUAUGAGUUGUGCAUUUUACAGUGUAGUUUUAGUGUAAUUCUUUCUGUAGUUUAGUGUAAUUUACCUGUAACUCGCCUCCCUUAUCAGCGCUAAUAAAUUCCAGUUCAUUAGUGUUGCAUGAAUUCCUGGUUUAGGUUAGUUAGCUACCUCAUUAGUGCUGCAUUCCUAGCCUUUUUUCAAGCAUUUUCCUAACCUUUUUUGUUCAUAUCUUCCUGAAUAUGUGACCCCUUAUCUGUUUUUCCUAUGGCCUUGUGCUGUAAUUGUAGUUAUGAAUUCAGAAACUUGCAACUAGUUUUUUCUGUUCCUGCCCCCCAGACUACUUGGUCCUAAUAUUCUUCCUGGUUCUGGUGUAUUUUUUGUGUCACGUAAGUAGAGUUCCAGAGUUCAUUUUUGUCCCUGCAGCAUAUAAAUGAGGUUUUGUCCCUGCAGCAUAUAUAUAUGUAAUGAUUCAUAGACGUCCUUGUUUCUUUUCAGUUGUAGACAAGCAGGAGAGAGAUAUGUCUUAAUCAUGCUAAAUGUGGGGUGAAUGCAAAGAUGGGGGUGUUUACCUGUGAUUCCUAUUGAGUGGAAGACUGAAGCAACUCAUUCUGCAGACAAGCCGGAAUUUAAGUAUCAGGUUGGUGUUUGGAUGGACUAAACCCGUUAUUGUUUAGUGGGGCCAGUAGGAAAUUUUAACAUGGACAUAGAAACGACAAGUAGAAACAUAGACAAACAAUUGUCAAGCUCCCAUGGGUUGGAAAUAUCUGACUGAAACCGAAUUGCUAUUUUUCAUGUGGAUGAAAACAAUUCCACAUGCGCAUGAAAAUAUAUUUAUAGUGUAAUUCCUAUUGGAUUUACAGUGUAAUUUCUAGUGAAUUUACAGUGUAAUUCUUAGUGGAUUCAUGCGCAUGAACAUAGAUUUUACAGUGUAAUUCCUAUUGGAUUUACAGUGUAAUUUCAAGUUAAUUUACAGUGUAAUUCCUAGUGGAUUCACACUGUAAUCCCCAAUGGAUUCUCAUUGUAAUUCCGAAUGGAUUUUCCAGUGUAAUUCCUAAUGGAUUUUACAGUGUAAAUAUGUUAUUAGUUUUAUAGAUUCUUUUUGCUUGUUGCUACUAGUGUGAGUGCCUUCUAGUGUCAAUGCUUUUUGCCUGGUUGUGUUUGUCCUUUUUUUUGUUAAUUUCAAUUUUCAGUGCUUAUGUUGAUGCCUAUCAAUAUUCAGUAUAAGGAAGCAUCAGAUCAUAGUAGUUUACACUUCGAAUGUUACUUAAAUCCAGUCCUUCAAUCGCAGCUAUUUAAGAACAGGUAGAAAGUGUCUAAAACUAGUAGAUCAAAGUUUCUUAACAGUGUUUAGUUUUCCAGUUUCCAAUGUUUGUGAAAAUAGUCAUAUUUUCUCUCAGCUGGAGCAGUCCACCCCCUUAUAUGUUUUCAAGUUCUCCCAAAAUGGAAUUGCUAACUUCCUAAGCUUGUUUGGUUACCUGUAGUGUGUUUAUUUCUGCAAAUUCAGAAACCCAUGGUCUGGGCAUCUAGUUAUCAGUUUUCCUGUGAUCAUUGACUACUAGUUCAUGUGACCAUACCCUAGUUGUUCUUAGGGUUUCUCCUGGUUCAUUCUUUUGUGUGAUUAUGUUCUUAUUUUUGAUCUGUGUAGAUUUUGUGAUUAACUUAGCCUAUGUAAUGAACCACUACAGGUCUGUUCCGUCUUCCACAUUUGUUCAGGUAGGAGAGAGACAACAGGAGGUGAUGAAUGCACGGGAGGUGGGGGUGUUUACAUGUGAUUUUUUUUGUUUCUCCAACCAUGUUUAUGUCCCAGAUCAUGGAGAAAUCGCCCUGUCUGGUGGCGCUUCUCUGGGGGUAAAUUUAGCACUUCGUCAGUGGAAUUACAGUAUAAUUCUUUUGUGUCUUUUAAGUGCAAUUUACACUGUAAAUCUUAGUGGAAUUACAGUGUGCUUUUAGUGGAAUUACAGUGUAUUUUUAGUGUUUUCAAUUGUUUUUACACUGUAAUUAUUAGUGGAAGUACAGUGGAAUUUACACGGUAAAUCUUAAUGGAUUUAUCGUGUACUUUAGUGGAUUUUGCUCUGUAUUUGCAAGUGGAAUUACAGUGUAUUUUUAGUGGAAUUACUAUGCAUUUUCCAUGGUUUUUACACUGUAAUUAUUAGUGUAAUUUUAGCCCUUUGUAUAAUUGAUUCACAGCAGCAGCAGCGGUAAUUUAGUGUGGUUAGAUG
rnacentral:lncRNA from 1 species